AUGGCGAGCUCCGCCAAAACCCCAUCUGCCAAGCUGCUGCCGACAGGUGUGCAAAUGGAGGUCCAGCUGGUGGAAUCAGGAGGGGAUGUGAGAAGGCCUGGGGAGUCCCUCUGUCUCUCCUGCCAAGCCUCUGGAUUCACCUUCAGCCGCUAUGAUUUCAUCUCGGUGACACAGUUUCCAGGGAAAGGACUGGAAUGGGUUGCAUGGAUAGACAGUCCUGGAGAUGGGAGCAGGCACUCUUACUCCAACUCUGCGAAAGACCGUUUCACCAUCUCCCGGCGAGAUGCCUCGAGCAUGCUUUAUCUCCAAAUGAACAACUUGAAACCAGAGGACACGGCUGUGUAUUACUGUGUUAGAGAGCCACAGUGA